GCGGGCGUAGCUCAAUGGUAGAGCCCCAGUCUUCCAAACUGGUGGUGCGAGUUCGAUUCUCGUCGCCCGCUCCA
rnacentral:tRNA from 1 species